rnacentral:rRNA from 1 species
GCAAGUCGAGCGAACGGACGAGAAGCUUGCUUCUCUGAUGUUAGCGGCGGACGGGUGAGUAACACGUGGAUAACCUACCUAUAAGACUGGGAUAACUUCGGGAAACCGGAGCUAAUACCGGAUAAUAUUUUGAACCGCAUGGUUCAAAAGUGAAAGACGGUCUUGCUGUCACUUAUAGAUGGAUCCGCGCUGCAUUAGCUAGUUGGUAAGGUAACGGCUUACCAAGGCAACGAUGCAUAGCCGACCUGAGAGGGUGAUCGGCCACACUGGAACUGAGACACGGUCCAGACUCCUACGGGAGGCAGCAGUAGGGAAUCUUCCGCAAUGGGCGAAAGCCUGACGGAGCAACGCCGCGUGAGUGAUGAAGGUCUUCGGAUCGUAAAACUCUGUUAUUAGGGAAGAACAUAUGUGUAAGUAACUGUGCACAUCUUGACGGUACCUAAUCAGAAAGCCACGGCUAACUACGUGCCAGCAGCCGCGGUAAUACGUAGGUGGCAAGCGUUAUCCGGAAUUAUUGGGCGUAAAGCGCGCGUAGGCGGUUUUUUAAGUCUGAUGUGAAAGCCCACGGCUCAACUGUGGAGGGUCAUUGGAAACUGGAAAACUUGAGUGCAGAAGAGGAAAGUGGAAUUCCAUGUGUAGCGGUGAAAUGCGCAGAGAUAUGGAGGAACACCAGUGGCGAAGGCGACUUUCUGGUCUGUAACUGACGCUGAUGUGCGA